AUCACUUCUCAGCCUUUUGGCUAAGAUCAAGUGUAGUAUCUGUUCUUAUCAGUUUGAAGAAUGAUUUGUACCCCCAUGUUCAUAGCAACAUCAUUCACAAUAGCCCCA
rnacentral:snRNA from 1 species